UGUGCAGAGGAGAAUAGCAGGUUAUGCGUCUCGGUGAGAGACUAUUACUGUUACAUGCUCUAGACACGACCUGGGAUAUUCAAUCCCAUACUCUGUGGAGGACGAUUGCUCCAGCAAUGGGGGGUGGACAUGUACAUCAAUAUUGUGAGUUGUAGGUUGAAAUGGUACAGGAAGAACCAGACAAAGAUCCGUGCCGACCUGUAUAAAGGAGUUGUUGAUGCAAUUACAUCCGGGGAGACCCGGGCAAGCGUUGUUGGAGUAAGGAUAGUGCUCCCUGGAACGUACCCAGGUGGCGACCGCGACAUAAAGCGGAGGCAUAUGGAUGCCAUGGCAAUUGUCCAUACCUACGGGAAGCCUGGCAUCUUCUUGACCAUGACCUGCAACCCUAACUAG
rnacentral:rRNA from 1 species